AUUGAACGCUGGCGGCAGGCCUAACACAUGCAAGUCGAGCGGAUGAGGAGAGCUUGCUCUUCGAUUCAGCGGCGGACGGGUGAGUAAUGCCUAGGAAUCUGCCUGGUAGUGGGGGACAACGUUUCGAAAGGAACGCUAAUACCGCAUACGUCCUACGGGAGAAAGCAGGGGACCUUCGGGCCUUGCGCUAUCAGAUGAGCCUAGGUCGGAUUAGCUAGUUGGUGAGGUAAUGGCUCACCAAGGCGACGAUCCGUAACUGGUCUGAGAGGAUGAUCAGUCACACUGGAACUGAGACACGGUCCAGACUCCUACGGGAGGCAGCAGUGGGGAAUAUUGGACAAUGGGCGAAAGCCUGAUCCAGCCAUGCCGCGUGUGUGAAGAAGGUCUUCGGAUUGUAAAGCACUUUAAGUUGGGAGGAAGGGCAGUAAGUUAAUACCUUGCUGUUUUGACGUUACCGACAGAAUAAGCACCGGCUAACUCUGUGCCAGCAGCCGCCGUAAUAC
rnacentral:rRNA from 1 species